rnacentral:rRNA from 1 species
GACGAACGCUGGCGGCGCGCUUAACACAUGCAAGUCGAGCGAGAACCAGGCCUUCGGGCCUGGGGAAAGCGGCGAACGGGUGAGUAACACGUGGGUAACCCACCCUUGGUACCGGGAUAGCCCGGGGAAACCCGGAUUAAUACCGGAUGGCCCAGCAGCUCUUCGGGGCGGUUGGAAAAGGUAGCUUCGGCCUCCGACCAAGGACGGGCCCGCGGCGGAUUAGCUUGUUGGCGGGGUAACGGCCCACCAAGGCGACGAUCCGUAGCNGGUCUGAGAGGACGAUCAGCCACACUGGGACUGAGACACGGCCCAGACUCCUACGGGAGGCAGCAGCGGGGAAUCUUGCGCAAUGGGCGAAAGCCUGACGCAGCGACGCCGCGUGAGGGAUGACGGCCUU